ensembl:lncRNA
CAAGUUUGUAUGAACGUCUGGUUAUUAAAUGGGUACAUAGUUCAAUAGUAAUAUCCUCUAAAACGCUCCAGUGACAAACUAACUUUGCUGCCCUGUUUCAAAUUAUCUACAUGACUGGGAGAACCUAUUCAAGUAAAAUACCUUGUAACUGGAGAAUCCUUCAAAACGAUUGCCUACAGUUAAUAUAUAGGGCACUGCAAGGUUGGGUGACCUGGGACUGCCUCCUGGGGGAAUUCAGGUGUGUGAAGGCUACCUGUGUCCUGCAUUACUUGAUAAGGAUGGACACGAGGACCAGGAGGGGAUGUGCAGCUUGCCGCCGUGUGCCAGAGUAGAAGUCUGCUGCUCUGUGAGAUGUUUCAAGGAUGGGGUCUAACAACGCAGCAAGAGGGGAGAUCUUCACCUCCUACUUCUUCGAAGAUGUUGCUGUUCCCUGGUUAUAUCAGCUGUGUCAGUGAACCCCUCCCACAUCUGAACUGGCUACAUAGAGGGCACAGCAUGAUCAGAGAUAUGUUUUGAUGUGAGAGGGGAUGCCAACCCCCAGUCCUAUCAUCGCCACCUCACCUGCUUUUAAGAUAACCUUUGGGCUGUCGAGUGAUACUUAUGUAAUUGUGAUGAACUAAGAAUAUUUAGGUAGCACUGUGAUUCAUUAAUCAUAUGCUGCCUUCCCUGCUCCUAUGUUUUACCUCUUUCCCUUUUACACCUCUCCCACCACCUCUUUCUUUAUAAUGCACAACAGAUGUGCAUUGAAGUACAGAUUGAACUUGAAUUUAUAACAUUAACAUUAUAAUAUUUAUAAUGCAUGUAUUUAUAACACUUGGAUAAUGAGAUUCUCAAUAAAGCAUUUUACAUUCUCUACUGGUUG